UACAUAAUAAUUCUAAGGCCAAUUAUAUUAAUACAUCAGGUUUUACUGUAGGAAUGCAUACGUAAUUAAAGAUAUACAGUAAUAGCUCCUAUGUGAUAUGUAGACAUUGUAUCAUUUUGGUAGUCUUUGGUAGUCUUAGGUUAUUAUGUGGAAAUUGGUAUAUCACUUCUUAAGUAAAUACAAUGUUGGUAACAACUUCUAAUGAGCAGGCUAGAGCUAUGGCAUACAACUAGCUAGCAAGCUAAAGCAACCAGCUUGUCCAGCAAACAGUAACUACCAGCAUAUGGUUUGGCUAAACUAACCUUAGCUAGCACCACACUAGCAGUAGACUAGCCUAGCUAGUAACAUUAACCUUAGUGAGCUUAUUAACUGAGGUUGCUUGCUAGCUAGCUAACUAGGCCACUACACAGGCUAGUUACUUUACAUUUGCCUAUGAAGGACAUCUACAUUAGAUCCAUACUAUUAUAUUAAGCACAUGGCCAAGCUAUAGCCAGGCUAAACAUGGCAAAUGGCUAUACAUUGCCAAGCUAUAGCCAGGCUCCUAGCUAAUGAUAUUAUAAUGUAAUUAGCUAGCUACAUGCUGUAGUUAGGUAGCCAUAAAAAAGUUAGCUGACAGUUGGACAACCAAUGUAAGCUGGCUGGCCUAACAACCACUGUCAGCAAACUGGCUUAUCCUGCUAUGACAACGAUUAACAUGCCUUUUGUAUCUGUUACAUUAUUAGCUAGAUAAUAAAGCAAGUGAAUAUAGUAUAAUUCACAAAAUACAACUAGCUAGCUACUGUUUGUAUAAACCAGCUAAAUACAAGCUAUGUCACUUAGUCCUUGGCUAACAUUAGCUAGCUAGCUACAGUGUCUAGGUAGCAAUGUUGCUAAUGACAGGCUGGGACCGAGAGCAAGAUGGUCCCACAAAAGGUACCUUACUUGCACUGAGACGUCACAUGAAACACACUGAUUAUCAAGGCUUUUUUUUUUACUUAAGCAGGCAAGUAAGUUAAGAACAAAUUCUUAUUUACAAUGACUGCCUACACUGGCCAAACCUGGACAACGCUGGGACAAUUUGUACACUGCCCUAUGGGACUCCCAAUCACAGGUGGUUGUGAUACAGCCUGGAUUCAAACCAGGGUGUCUGUAGUGACACCUCAAGCACUGAGAUGCAGUGCCUUAGACUGCUGCGCCACAAGGGAGCCCCUGAUUUCAAUUCAAUGUUUGAACUACAAAUAUUACUAUUUGUUUACCUCGGUUGUCCUUGGUCAACGUUGACUGUCACUGUGCUUUUGUCUUUCAACAACAUGAGAACAUGUGUGAAUUUUGUUUUGCUGAGUAACAUUACUACAAUUUCCUGCACGUGGGUAUUUCACAACAAUUUCUACAAUUUCCAGCUGGAUACAAAUUUAAACUCUUAAAGUAAGCGCCCAAAUCAAAUACUGUUUUUACCUCACCCAAGGAUUUUGAAUUGAACAUGGCUCGUGUGCUAAGUGAUAUAUUGUCAGCAAAAAAACUACAAAAAAACUAAAAAGAAAAGGUUAUCAAAUACCUCCAGAAGAAAGGCCUGCUCAAGAAAUCUGUGAGGCAUACGUGCAAAGAUGGAUACAUAUGGUAAGUUAAUGUUACAACUGAUAUUGAUUGGCCUAGAGAACUUUGGGAAAGUUUGAAAUGAGGAGUACUGUACUGUAAGAAAUGUUUGAAUAUGUAAAUGGUGCAGAGCUUAUUGAGCUAGUCUCAUAGGUUCUAGGCAUAUACACUUCUAGGCAUGUACAUAAAUGGAACAGAGUUAAAGAUGUGGUUUCCAUAUGUCUAAUACCAUUCCAUUUAUUUCAUUCCAGCCAUUACAAUGAACCCGUCCUCCUAUUGCUCCUCCUACCAGCCUCCUCUGAUGGUGACUCAUAUAUUAUUUCACCAGCUGGAACAUUUCUAAAAAUGUGGCUAUGAACAUGCAUUGAAGAGAACUAUCUAAGCUUUCCAGUGGCCAGUGUCCUUCAUAAUUGUGUGUGUGCUACUCGAGAGAUUGCAUUUCCAGUCUCUCUACAAGGGCUCACGCUCCUCUGUGUUCCGGUUGCAUUCCAACUCUGGGCACUGGACUGCAAGCCCAUGUAGAGCAAGUGAAGAGCUUAGGAGAUGCACACCCUUCAAGUCUACCUUUGGCCUGCAGCCUACCACUCAAGAUGUUUCAUGUCUGUCUGGAAAGCUGUUCUUCUAUUUCCAACCAUGUUGAUGUAUUCCAACUGCUACUGAAAAGAAUUUGUCGAAACAAGAGGAGGCAUCCGGAAGGAUUCAAUGUUUAGCCCUUCUCAGGUUUCACUUACGGUUCGGGUAACAUUUCUUAAUCGAUUUGCACAGGGGCUACACUUGAUAUUACAGAGGACUGCAUUGCACGGAGCUCAAGGACUGAGCUCCGUUCUCUGACAAGAAUGACGAGAAGCCUGAGAAAG